rnacentral:lncRNA from 1 species
UAACCAACCAACCAACCAACUAAUCAAUUAAUCAAUCAAUCAACUAAUCAAUCAAUCAUGAUCAUGAUCAAUCAAUCAUGUUUCCGUCUCAUGUGUUUAAUAUAGGGUCCAAGAUCUUCUUUGUUUCUUUUUCCGUGUUUCAAUUGACCCUAUCCAACGUGUUUAACCAACCAACCAACCAACCAACCAACCAACCAACCAACCAACUAACCAACUUAUCAAUCAAUCAAUCAAUCAAUCAAUCAAUCAAUCAAUCUGUAUGACUGUUUAAUCAUGACAGUUUAUUGAAGGAACAAACUCUCAAUUAUUCAAGAAAAAUUGAAAUUUAAUAUUGUUCUUACGUCACUUCUGAAAAAAAAUCCACAUGUUCUCUGAAACUACAAGUACAAAUCGACCUCAAAAUUUGCAGUCAGCAGGGCAUACAUGUACUAAAGUUUAUAAAAAAACUUGGUGCAGAUAUCUCUCAAAGCUUUUCCUAGAGAAAAGAAAUGGCAAUGCCGUAAAAAUCGCUUGCUAGGUCCGUAAAUCUCAGUAAAAACCUACAAUAAAAUGUCCGCUCCGAGAUUGAAAUACUAAUCUGUGUUACAAACAGGUGCUGAAAAAUGUACAUUAUCAGAAAAUAAUCAAUUAAAUGUGUUUUAAAGUUACACCGGAUCAAUUAAAUCCAAAACAUGCACUGCUGGUGAACUGUGAUCAAAAUGUCAAUUUCCUACAAUGACAAAAGAAAUUACAUUGUGUACAUUCCAUCUCUAUACAUGUUGUCUGUUUAACGUCCCGACCUAAAAAGAAAUAAAAAGACUAUCUUUUCGUUAUUAUAAACCCGUGUCACGUGAUGUGGCGCGCGCGCUGUACCUAAAAUAAAAGAAAAACUUUCCAAACUAAACAUGAAACUUNNNNNNNNNNNNNNNNNNNNNNNNNCGAAAAAAAUCUAAGCGACAUAUUGCGAAACAAACAUUUAUCGCAAGAAAAAAUUUGGCGGAAAAAAAAAAAAAAUAAUAAUAAUAAUAAUAAUAAUCAGAACAAAUACAAUAGGCUUUCCACAGAAAAGUGGAAAGACCUAAUAAUAUGGAAAAAACUGGAGUUGUCGUUCGUUUUACGUUGAUAGGAUAGAUAGUACACAACCUACAUUCAGUUGUAAGUGGAGGGUUAAAAAAAAGGGGGGGGGCAAAAGGGGGUCUCGGGGAGAUUUUUUUUUUUUUUUUUAUUAACGGAACAGAAUGGUUAAAAAGGUUUUUUACAAUAUAAAUCAAUUGCUUUAAAAAAGCAAUUGUAGGGGUCUUUCCCCCUUUAAAAUUAAUUGAAUUGGGGGGGGGGGUUUUGUUUGUUUGUUGUUGUUUGUUUGUUUGUUUCUGUAUGGGGUCUAUAUUAUUGUUACCGGAGAAGUUUCAUGUUUAGUUUGGAAAGUUUUUCUUUUAUUUAGGUACAGCGCG